UACAGAGGGGGCAAGCGUUGUUCGGAAUUACUGGGCGUAAAGGGCGCGUAGGCGGCCUCUUAAGUCGAACGUGAAAUCCCCGGGCUCAACCCGGGAACUGCGUCCGAUACUGGGAGGCUUGAAUCCGGGAGAGGGAUGUGGAAUUCCAGGUGUAGCGGUGAAAUGCGUAGAUAUCUGGAGGAAUCACCGGGUGGCGAAGGCGGCAAUCCUGGACCGGUAUUG
rnacentral:rRNA from 1 species